rnacentral:rRNA from 1 species
UUAAGUUAGAAAGGGCGCACGGUGGAUGCCUUGACACUAGGAGUCGAUGAAGGACGGGACUAACGCCGAUAUGCUUCGGGGAGCUGUAAGUAAGCUUUGAUCCGAAGAUUUCCGAAUGGGGAAACCCACCAUACGUAAUGGUAUGGUAUCCUUAUCUGAAUACAUAGGGUAAGGAAGACAGACCCAGGGAACUGAAACAUCUAAGUACCUGGAGGAAGAGAAAGCAAAUGCGAUUUCCUGAGUAGCGGCGAGCGAAACGGAACAUAGCCCAAACCAAGAGGCUUGCCUCUUGGGGUUGUAGGACAUUCUAUACGGAGUUACAAAGGAACGAGGUAGACGAAGCGACCUGGAAAGGUCCGUCGUAGAGGGUAACAACCCCGUAGUCGAAACUUCGUUCUCUCUUGAAUGUAUCCUGAGUACGGCGGAACACGUGAAAUUCCGUCGGAAUCUGGGAGGACCAUCUCCCAAGGCUAAAUACUCCCUAGUGAUCGAUAGUGAACCAGUACCGUGAGGGAAAGGUGAAAAGCACCCCGGAAGGGGAGUGAAAGAGAUCCUGAAACCGUGUGCCUACAAAUAGUCAGAGCCCGUUAACGGGUGAUGGCGUGCCUUUUGUAGAAUGAACCGGCGAGUUACGAUCCCGUGCGAGGUUAAGCUGAAGAGGCGGAGCCGCAGCGAAAACGAGUCUGAAUAGGGCGUUUAGUACGUGGUCGUAGACCCGAAACCAGGUGAUCUACCCAUGUCCAGGGUGAAGUUCAGGUAACACUGAAUGGAGGCCCGAACCCACGCACGUUGAAAAGUGCGGGGAUGAGGUGUGGGUAGCGGAGAAAUUCCAAUCGAACCUGGAGAUAGCUGGUUCUCCCCGAAAUAGCUUUAGGGCUAGCCUUAAGUGUAAGAGUCUUGGAGGUAGAGCACUGAUUGGACUAGGGGUCCUCAUCGGAUUACCGAAUUCAGUCAAACUCCGAAUGCCAAUGACUUAUCCUUAGGAGUCAGACUGCGAGUGAUAAGAUCCGUAGUCAAAAGGGAAACAGCCCAGACCGCCAGCUAAGGUCCCAAAGUGUGUAUUAAGUGGAAAAGGAUGUGGAGUUGCUUAGACAACUAGGAUGUUGGCUUAGAAGCAGCCACCAUUUAAAGAGUGCGUAAUAGCUCACUAGUCGAGUGACUCUGCGCCGAAAAUGUACCGGGGCUAAAUACACCACCGAAGCUGCGGAUUGAUACCAAUGGUAUCAGUGGUAGGGGAGCGUUCUAAGGACAGUGAAGUCAGACCGGAAGGACUGGUGGAGUGCUUAGAAGUGAGAAUGCCGGUAUGAGUAGCGAAAGACGGGUGAGAAUCCCGUCCACCGAAUGCCUAAGGUUUCCUGAGGAAGGCUCGUCCGCUCAGGGUUAGUCAGGACCUAAGCCGAGGCCGACAGGCGUAGGCGAUGGACAACAGGUUGAUAUUCCUGUACCACCUCUUUAUCGUUUGAGCAAUGGAGGGACGCAGAAGGAUAGAAGAAGCGUGCGAUUGGUUGUGCACGUCCAAGCAGUUAGGCUGAUAAGUAGGCAAAUCCGCUUAUCGUGAAGGCUGAGCUGUGAUGGGGAAGCUCCUUAUGGAGCGAAGUCUUUGAUUCCCCGCUGCCAAGAAAAGCUUCUAGCGAGAUAAAAGGUGCCUGUACCGCAAACCGACACAGGUAGGCGAGGAGAGAAUCCUAAGGUGUGCGAGAGAACUCUGGUUAAGGAACUCGGCAAAAUGACCCCGUAACUUCGGGAGAAGGGGUGCUUUCUUAACGGAAAGCCGCAGUGAAUAGGCCCAAGCGACUGUUUAGCAAAAACACAGCUCUCUGCGAAGCCGUAAGGCGAAGUAUAGGGGGUGACACCUGCCCGGUGCUGGAAGGUUAAGGAGAGGGGUUAGCGUAAGCGAAGCUCUGAACUGAAGCCCCAGUAAACGGCGGCCGUAACUAUAACGGUCCUAAGGUAGCGAAAUUCCUUGUCGGGUAAGUUCCGACCCGCACGAAAGGUGUAACGAUUUGGGCACUGUCUCAACCAGAGACUCGGUGAAAUUAUAGUACCUGUGAAGAUGCAGGUUACCCGCGACAGGACGGAAAGACCCCGUGGAGCUUUACUGUAGCCUGAUAUUGAAUUUUGGUACAGUUUGUACAGGAUAGGCGGGAGCCUUUGAAACCGGAGCGCUAGCUUCGGUGGAGGCGCUGGUGGGAUACCGCCCUGACUGUAUUGAAAUUCUAACCUACGGGUCUUAUCGACCCGGGAGACAGUGUCAGGUGGGCAGUUUGACUGGGGCGGUCGCCUCCUAAAGUGUAACGGAGGCGCCCAAAGGUUCCCUCAGAAUGGUUGGAAAUCAUUCGUAGAGUGCAAAGGCAUAAGGGAGCUUGACUGCGAGACCUACAAGUCGAGCAGGGACGAAAGUCGGGCUUAGUGAUCCGGUGGUUCCGCAUGGAAGGGCCAUCGCUCAACGGAUAAAAGCUACCCCGGGGAUAACAGGCUUAUCUCCCCCAAGAGUCCACAUCGACGGGGAGGUUUGGCACCUCGAUGUCGGCUCAUCGCAUCCUGGGGCUGUAGUCGGUCCCAAGGGUUGGGCUGUUCGCCCAUUAAAGCGGUACGCGAGCUGGGUUCAGAACGUCGUGAGACAGUUCGGUCCCUAUCCGUCGUGGGCGUAGGAAAUUUGAGAGGAGCUGUCCUUAGUACGAGAGGACCGGGAUGGACGCACCGCUGGUGUACCAGUUGUUCUGCCAAGGGCAUAGCUGGGUAGCUAUGUGCGGAAGGGAUAAGUGCUGAAAGCAUCUAAGCAUGAAGCCCCCCUCAAGAUGAGAUUUCCCAUAGCGUAAGCUAGUAAGAUCCCUGAAAGAUGAUCAGGUUGAUAGGUUCGAGGUGGAAGCAUGGUGACAUGUGGAGCUGACGAAUACUAAUAGAUCGAGGACUUAACCAU